CAUGUAGGCGGCAUGACAAGUCUGGUGUGAAAUAUCUCGGCUCAACCGAGAAAACGCACUGGAAACUGUCAAGCUUGAGUAUCGGAGGGGAAGCUAGAAUUCCUGGUGUAGGGGUGAAAUCUGUAGACAUCAGGAAGAAUACCGGUGGCGAAGGCGAGCUUCUGGCCAGAUACUGACGUUGAGAUGCGAAAGCGUGGGGAGCGAACAGGAUUAGAUACCCUGGUAGUCC
rnacentral:rRNA from 1 species